GUCUAUGGCCAUACCACCCUGAAUGCACCCUAUCUCGUCUGAUCUCAGAAGCUAAGCAGGGUCGGAUCUGGUUAGUACUUGGAUGGGAAAAUAUCAAAACUUGAAUC
rnacentral:rRNA from 1 species